GAAGGAUCUGCCUAUCCAAGAUGGCGGCUCGCGGCGGCACAGGGUUUCCUCCGCUGUGUACAAUGGACUUGAGGGACAAAGAGCACCACUCACUGGAGGAGGCCACCCUUACUCCACAUGAACAUUAUCUCACCUGUACAGCCACAUCUUCAGCAUCAGCAGGCUGGCCAGUGCGCAUGCGUAGUGUGGUCGGCUGCGGGAGGUGGCGCUGUUGCACAGGUCCGAGUCGCAGCAGUGGAUGCGGACGCCUGGCAGCUCCUGUUGUUGGCAGUGUCUGGAUGUGGCACAGCCGCUGGUCAGGACGAUGCCCAGUGCCGCUGCAUGGAUGGAUGGAUGGAUGGACGGAGAAGACAAAUCAGUCACAGAAGAGUUAAGCGGUGCUUGAAGCCCUUGUGCGAGUGGGUGCAGGUGAGCACCUCUGGAUUGGAGCAGCCCACGUCCACGUACCUCUGACCCUGGAUGAUGUUGCAGCCAUAGCACUGCAGACCCUCCACUGGGCGGGAGCACAUACGGAGAGAAAAGGACUUUCAAGAAAGGGAGUGGACCGAAUCCACCUUGGUGGGUUUAAGCGGGGAUUGUCUGUGAAUUCAGAACGAUCGCACACACCUGCGACUGACCGGCCAAAUCCUGCACACACAAGAUGGAAGAUCAGCUUUGGAGCUGAAACCAAUCCGCCCUCUUUAUCUGCGGCGGCCCGGGGAGGACACGAGCCUCUCACUUGCCUGGCCGCUGCUAAAUAGCCAAACCCAAAGCCGGGAUGGAGCUUUCAGGAGCGAACUAAUCCCGCCGCAAAUGCUCUUACAAAAAUCACUUUUGAAAAUCUGCUGGAAUCGGUGUAAAGCGUUGCCGGGACCGGAAGUUCCUGCCAGCCUUCAUGGGGAUGUGUCAUGUUUCCGCCCUGUUGGUGAUACAGUAGAUCAGGGGUCACCAUCAUGGUGCCCACCGGCACCAGGUCGCCCCCAAGAACCACAUGAGUAGUCCGCAGGCCUAUUCUAAAAAUAGCUCACCAUUAAUUGGACAGUAUGAGUUCCUAGUAAUGUUAGAAGUGAUCAUUUACAAAUGUAAUUUAUAGAAAUAAAGUGAUGCAUAUAGA